CAAACCCAAUUUCACUGUGUUUCUAGUAGUGCUGCAACUGUUUAAUCCAUGGCUUUUUCUUCAUUUUUCAAGCCUAUUGUAACUUCUUGUCUCCUUAUUUUCCUUUUGGCCAUAGGACUCACCACUGCCCCAAUGCUCAACUUUCAACAAACUUCUACUCCAAAUCUUGCCCUAACCUCUUUUCUGCUGUGAAACCUGUUGUUCAAUCCGCC
rnacentral:misc_RNA from 1 species